rnacentral:rRNA from 1 species
CCCUGCACUCUGGGAUAAGCCUUGGAAACGGGGUCUAAUACCGGAUAUCACAAUCUCUCGCAUGGGGGGUUGUUGAAAGUUCUGGCGGUGCAGGAUGAACCCGCGGCCUAUCAGCUUGUUGGUGGGGUAGUGGCCUACCAAGGCGACGACGGGUAGCCGGCCUGAGAGGGUGACCGGCCACACUGGGACUGAGACACGGCCCAGACUCCUACGGGAGGCAGCAGUGGGGAAUAUUGCACAAUGGGCGCAAGCCUGAUGCAGCGACGCCGCGUGAGGGAUGACGGCCUUCGGGUUGUAAACCUCUUUCGCCAGGGACGAAGCGCAAGUGACGGUACCUGGAUAAGAAGCACCGGCUAACUACGUGCCAGCAGCCGCGGUAAUACGUAGGGUGCGAGCGUUGUCCGGAUUUAUUGGGCGUAAAGAGCUCGUAGGCGGUUUGUCGCGUCGGCCGUGAAAUCUCCACGCUUAACGUGGAGCGUGCGGUCGAUACGGGCAGACUUGAGUUCGGUAGGGGAGACUGGAAUUCCUGGUGUA